rnacentral:lncRNA from 1 species
UGCCUUCCACCAUGAUUGUGAGGCCUCCCCAGCCACAUGGAACUACCAGCCAACACUUACGGAAAAUAGAACCUACGUUGAAAUAUUGGGGGCUGGUUUCCUCUAUACAAGAGGAGUCAUGAAUAUUUAUGAAAGGAGAAAUCGCACAUGCACAGCAAGGCAAUUUACUUCUAUAGAAGGGUGCGCCCUCACAGAUGGAGCAAUGGAUGACCUGCCUGCAGAAGGAGCUACCCACUGAAGGUCUCUUCUCUGCUGAGAGCUGGACACUCAUUGGGAUGAACUGCCUGUGGAAAGGAGCUACCCACUUUGGGUCUCUAGAGAGCUGUUCUGUUGCUCAGUGAAGCUCCUGUGCAUCUUGCUCACCCUCCAAUUGUCUGCAUACUUCAUUCUUCCUGGACAUGGGACAAGAACUCAGGACCAAAUGGUGGGACUGAAAGAGCUAUGACACAAACAGGGCUCAAGAUUUAACAGCCAACAACAAAACAAAAUAAAGCAAAAUAAAUGUCAGAAUGUGUGAGCUAUCAGAUCAUUGGCCUGUGGAUAUUCAAGUCUGAACUGAAUUUGAAUUGUCUCUUUUCGGGGAAAUGAUGCACAUUGUAUCAUGUCAGGCAAUAAUUUUUUGUAUAUGUUAUGGAUAGUUUGUAUGUAUGUGUGUGGUGGGGAUGGUAUGAAUGCAUGUGCUGGCUGGGAAGUAAAGCGAUGAACUGCA